GCUAGUGUGGUGUAGUGGUUUGAGCACUGGACUACCACUCUGGAGACCAGGGUUCAAAUCCUGGCUCAGCC